rnacentral:sRNA from 1 species
CGGUUCGCUGCCCGCGACGUUGUGAGAAGUCCACUGAACCUUAUCAUUUAGAGGAAGGAGAAGUCGUAACAAGGUUUCCGUAGGUGAACCUGCGGAAGGAUCAUUGUCGAUGCCUCACGAUCAGAUUGACCCGCGAACUCGUUUUUCCAUCUACCGGCAGGCAGGCAAGGGUCGGGCUUCUUCCGUCCUCCCCUUGCUCUGCCUGCUGCGUUGGGUCGGGGGGGGCCUCCUCCUUCCUUCCCAACAAACACAAACCCCGGCGCUUCGUGUGCCAAGGAACUCCAAUCUGUCAAGUGCGAUUCCCAACGGCCCGGAGACGGUGCCCCGCGGGCGUUGUCACGACACACAUUAUUAUAAAAUGACUCUCGGCAACGGAUAUCUCGGCUCUUGCAUCGAUGAAGAACGUAGCGAAAUGCGAUACUUGGUGUGAAUUGCAGAAUCCCGUGAACCAUCGAGUCUUUGAACGCAAGUUGCGCCCGAAGCCAUUAGGUGGAGGGCACGCCUGCCUGGGUGUCACACAUCGUUACCCAAACGCAAACAAAUGUCUCACCGGACGACCGUUGCGCAGUGGGGUGCACGCUGACCUCCCGCGAGCACCGUGUCGUGGUUGGUUGAAAAUCGAGUUCGUGGCCGAGUACGCCGUGAUAGAAUGGUGGAUGAGUAACAACGCUCGAGACCGAUCACGCGCAGCGACUCGGUCGGCUACGGACUCCUUCGCGACCCUACGGUGCCUCCUCUUCGGAGACGCCCUCAACGAGACCUCAGGUCAGGCGGGGCUACCCGCUGAGUUUAAGCAUAUCAAUAAGCGGAGGA